rnacentral:rRNA from 1 species
GAUGAACGCUGGCGGCGUGCCUAAUACAUGCAAGUCGAGCGAACAGAUGAGGAGCUUGCUCCUCUGACGUUAGUGGCGGACGGGUGAGUAACACGUGGAUAACCUACCUAUAAGACUGGGAUAACUUCGGGAAACCGGAGCUAAUACCGGAUAAUAUAUUGAACCGCAUGGUUCAAUAGUGAAAGACGGUUUUGCUGUCACUUAUAGAUGGAUCCGCGCCGCAUUAGCUAGUUGGUAAGGUAACGGCUUACCAAGGCGACGAUGCGUAGCCGACCUGAGAGGGUGAUCGGCCACACUGGAACUGAGACACGGUCCAGACUCCUACGGGAGGCAGCAGUAGGGAAUCUUCCGCAAUGGGCGAAAGCUUGACGGAGCAACGCCGCGUGAGUGAUGAAGGUCUUCGGAUCGUAAAACUCUGUUAUUAGGGAAGAACAAAUGUGUAAGUAACUAUGCACGUCUUGACGGUACCUAAUCAGAAAGCCACGGCUAACUACGUG